rnacentral:lncRNA from 1 species
GCCGACACCAACCGCGGUUACUGAAGGACUCUCCUCAUUUGUCGCAAUGCUCUGGCUGGGCAAGAAAGCAUGAUUUCAGACAGCUGGAAUGGCAGAGACCUGAGGGGAUGGGGAGUAUUUGCUUUAAUACAUCUAAUUUAUCAUCUUCUGCCCACAGCUGCAGGAGAGGGAGAGAGAGAUACUGAACAGAUCAGUCCAGAAGCGUAAUGAAACGUGGCAGAUGAACUGGGACACGACACAGUUUGCUGUUCCCACAGACUGGAGACUGUGUGGAAACAAGCUGUUUCCAAGGGCUCCAGUUUGGAAACUGUCUCCAGUCUCUCCCCAAAACUCUGGCUCAAUAGGAAUGUGAGGAAACCAGGGGGCAGCAGGGAAAGGAGAGAGAUUUUGCUUCUUUCAAAUUUGUGAUUUCUAUCGCAGCUUUAUUUUGGGAAGCACAAGAACAGGGCAUCCUUGUGGCACUCAAGUUACCAGAAAAAAUAACCAACAGCAAGUUUUGUCAAGCAAAUGAGGUCCCCUGAGCAGAACUUGUGAGCUGCUUGGCUGUGUUUAUUCAGAAAGCUGCCUGUUCUUUCAGGGGAGGGGGGAGAAAGUCCAAAAGGCCACUGUGCUAAGUUAGUUUGUAAAUGGUCCAGGACAGCUGCAAUAAGAGGCCAGUCAACAUCCAGGACAAAGAAUUAAACAAAAAAGCAGAACACCACAACCAGAAAUCUUUUUACCAAGUAUUUGUUCUUUCCAUGACUACAGAAAAAAAUGUCUCUAAGAACUUCCCCAAAAAUCAAUACUUUUCUGAUGGGAACUGUCCUGACCAUCUGUGCCAACUGGCCACAAGAUGACACUGAAUCACUUGGUGCUGCUUUCAGUGACUAUGUCUCUUAAGGUCUUUCAGGCCCCCAAAGAUGACUGACUCAAGCUCCCAGCCAUCUAGUCCUGUGCAGGGGUGCUGAGGAACAAUUUUUAAAAUGUAUAAUGGACACAGAUGUUUCCCAUCUGCCAACUAUGCCAUAAGGAACAACAUCCCACAGCUGAGGCCAACUGAAACGCUUCCCACACGCCCCAGAGCCGUGCCCAGCUGCAGUCCCACCCAGCAGGAGCCUGUGAUGGAAACUGUCAACAGCACCAAGAAGCCAGAAAAGAGAUGGGGAAUUUACUUCGCAGCAUUUGGGAUUUUGCAAGAGUUCUCAUGAAUUGAACGCAAAUUUUCUCCUACUGGUUCGUGACCCAAGCAUUGUAAGGAAAACAAUGGCUGUCACUGGUGCCAGUGUGUGUUCCUGGUCCAUAACCUGAAUGUCAAAACAGCAGAGUUAUGGGAUAAAAGGCAAAAUGGCACAGCCGACUGAAAUUUCCUAAAGGGCAAUAGACAAAAGUAUGAGAAUAAAAGAAGACUUUCUUCAGCA